GAUCAGGAGGAAGGCCAAACAGGAAGCAGGGUAGCCCAGCAGUGAAACCCUAGAACCGCCAAAAUCACAGAUCAACCUCGUCAGAAGACAUGUCGGUGUGGCGCUGCAUGAUCUGUAUCAUUUUUGUGGCUUUUAGAUUGAAGAAUCUUCUUAGCCACAUUAAUGUCACACAUGGUCGUAAUGCAGAAUUUUGGGUUUUCUGUGGGAUUGAUGGCUGUGAGCAAGAGUUCAGAGUUUUUAACUCAUUUUAUCGUCACCUGAAACGAACGCAUCCCCUGUAUGUAACGUCUGGAUGUCCACCAUGUCAAUGGAGAACGACACCCACAUCCGCACCACCUUUAUUAGAAAACUUCGGCGUAUCGAUAUUUGGCAAUUCUAUGACUCCUUCCAUGGACAGCUCCAUGGAAUCAUCACCUGACCUUCUCGAACUUGGAACGCAGGACCCACCAGAGAUGCCUGAGGCCCAAUCAAGCAAUGCAGGAGAAGCUGCAGCUCCAACAUCUGUCACCGGGCCUGACAUUGCCAGAUCUGCAGCAGCUUUUGCCAUAAGUGUUCGUGAACAAUGCCACCUGUCACAGAGGACUGUCAACAACAUCAUCACAGGGGUACAGCAAUAUCAAGCCACUCUUCUGGAAACAUUGAGGAAUAAAAUGAGAGAAGUAUUUGAAGAACACACCGGGACAUCUCAGCUUCAAGAUGCAGCACUGGCUACAUUUGAUAAUUUCAUUGAUCCCUUCUCCACUACUACAAAUGGACUGGAAAGAGCUGUUUCAGAACAUUUCAGUCCAGUGAGUCCAGAAGAAGUCGUUGUCUCUCAGACAAUUUGUCGGGUCAAAAAGGGCAGUUCAAGAGU